rnacentral:rRNA from 1 species
UACGGAGGGUGCAAGCGUUAAUCGGAAUUACGGGGCGUAAAGCGCACGCAGGUGGCUGAGUCAGUCGAUUGUGAAAGCCCUGGGCUUAACCUGGGAAUUGCAGUCGAUACUACUCGGCUCGAGUAUGGGAGAGGGCAGUGGAAUUCCCGGUGUAGCGGUGAAAUGCGUAGAUAUCGGGAGGAACAUCAGUGGCGAAGGCGGCUGCCUGGCCCAAUACUGACACUCAGGUGCGACAGCGUGGGGAGCAAUCAGG